GGAGAUAAUGUGAUUCACUUUUAACGGACAAAUGUGUUGUAUUUUACGUUAGGGGGCGGUAGUGCGCUGUAAUUAAUUCUCACCCACAAGAGCAAAAGGACAGGAGAAGAAAACGCAAUGCUAAACAAAACAAAAAUAUAAAAUGGGCUCGGAGGAUGGAGUCUUUAAAUGCAAGUAACACGUUUUACAGCAAAAUGUAUCGGUAACGGCAUGCUGAAACAACAAUAUCGCGAAUUUGUCAAUGGACUGACGCUAACACGGCAGAUCUGAUUGCAUGGAGAGCCAGUAACAACAGUCUGUUUACAGGGAGGAGAAAUGCAGCCAUCAAAGCCUUUGAGCUGUAUGUGAAGGAGAAACAGCUGGCGGGCAAAGUGACGCCUGCAUGGGUUCGAAAGAAGUGGGAAAAUCUAAAACAGAAGUAUAAGGACCUCAAAAGCCUCAGUAUGGUUGGGGGAAACACAUCAGUUGCAACCUGGAAGUGGUAUGCAGUCAUGGAUGGAGCACUGAGUAGCGAGACCUCCCUCAACCAUUUCAUCACGCCUGUCCAAGUGUCCUCAUCUGCUCAGGAUGCUCCACCCAUCAAGCAGAGAAAGGAAGAGGACUGGUUGACAGCUGUGCGGGAGAUGGAAAAGAGACAGGAGGAACGAGAGAGGCUGGCUUCAGAGAGGGAGGACGAGAGAGACAGACGAGCUGCAGCAAGAGAAGAAGAGCGAGACAGACGGGCUGCAGAGAGAGAAGACGUGAGAGAGAGACAGACGUCGGAGAGGGAGGAGAGGAGGGAACGAGAAAUGCUUUCGAGACAGGAACGGUGGGAGAAGGACAUGCUGGCAAGAGAAGAAAGGCUGGAAAGGGACUACAGAGAAAGAGAGGAGAGGAGAGAAAGAGAAGCUGCUGCUAGAGAAGAAAGGCUUUUUAAGCUCCUCGAGACAUUUAUGGCCAAUAAGUAAAACUGUUACUGAUGCAUUCCAAGAACUGCUUAUUUUCUACAAAUAAACUCUUUUGCAUUGCCA